rnacentral:rRNA from 1 species
AUUGAACGCCGGCGGCAGGCCUAACACAUGCAAGUCGAACGGUAACAGGAAGAAGCUUGCUUCUUUGCUGACGAGUGGCGGACGGGUGAGUAAUGUCUGGGAAACUGCCUGAUGGAGGGGGAUAACUACUGGAAACGGUAGCUAAUACCGCAUAACGUCGCAAGACCAAAGAGGGGGACCUUCGGGCCUCUUGCCAUCGGAUGUGCCCAGAUGGGAUUAGCUAGUAGGUGGGGUAACGGCUCACCUAGGCGACGAUCCCUAGCUGGUCUGAGAGGAUGACCAGCCACACUGGAACUGAGACACGGUCCAGACUCCUACGGGAGGCAGCAGUGGGGAAUAUUGCACAAUGGGCGCAAGCCUGAUGCAGCCAUGCCGCGUGUAUGAAGAAGGCCUUCGGGUUGUAAAGUACUUUCAGCGGGGAGGAAGGGAGUAAAGUUAAUACCUUUACUCAUUGACGUUACCCGCAGAAGAAGCACCGGCUAACUCCGUG